rnacentral:rRNA from 1 species
UACGAAGGGGGCUAGCGUUGUUCGGAAUUACUGGGCGUAAAGCGUGCGCAGGCGGUUUUGUAAGCCAGGUGUGAAAUCCCCGGGCUCAACCUGGGAAUGGCAUUUGGGACUGCAAGGCUGGAGUGCGGCAGAGGAGACUGGAAUUCCUGGUGUAGCAGUGAAAUGCGUAGAUAUCAGGAGGAAUACCGAUGGCGAAGGCAGGUCUCUGGGCUGACACUGACGCUCAUGCACGAAAGCGUGGGGAGCAAACAGG